AGUGCCUUUUGAGGAAACAGUUGUGUGAUUAUUACUUAAGAAAAAAGUGUUGAAUAGUAGUUUGGUGCAUUUUAACGGUGUUUGGUGUGGCUGUAGUUGUUUUUGGUGGAGCAGGCGAUAUUAAGGUACAAUUCAUAUCGGGUGAUACUUGUACAGGGUGCAUCGGGCUAUGUCGAACAGGUAUAGGUGUGUUUGUGUUGGUAAGAUCAGGACGAUGGUGAGACGGCCUUUGCGGGAGUGAGAUAAACUCACGCACACCGAGCCCGACCGGCCAAGAUCCUGCGCAAACUAAAAGCGAUGACGUCCGUGGUGUCCAACUGUGAUUUUACCAUCGACACUACCUGGUCAACAGUUACGGUUUUGGCUAACCUAGAUAGAUGUAGCCACAUAUAGUUUGUUCUUGGUAGUUGUGACACGGUUGGGAUCGACGUGGUGGUGGUAUCGGUUCCUGUUAUUAUUGGUGGUAGUGAAGGGCGAUUUCUUUGGUGAGUAUUGUCGGUGUCUGUAUUUACAGGGUAUAGUGGAGCAUUGUCAACAACAAUGGCUUCCGUGGAUGCAACAACGUCGCGGAACAACCUUCUACGCUUUCCACUCGGGAGGGCAUCUGGGGGCGGUACGUUGAAGUGUUCGCUAGGAGCUUGGUGAGCCGCGGCAAAACUGGCAAAGCCCUCACGGAUUUCGUGCAUCACAGGCGGGACUAAAGCAGCUUUCAUCACCUCGACAGCGGCAGUAAGAGCCGCCUGGAAGCCGACCUGCAUACCCGUUGUUUUGACUGCUUUACUAUGUGGGUUGCCAAGAGCAUUCGAACACCCUACACAGCUCCAAUGAAGAGAUGCCGUCCGUUUUACCUCUUCGAUCACAGUGAAAGUUGCCGUUGCAGAUAGAUGCCACAGGACUCAGGAACAAACGCAGGAAAUACAGCAAAGUCAGGAAUGGUUGUGACGAACGAUUGAAGGCAGGACUACCAGGGACAGCUUAAGUCACAGCUAAGCGGCAGUUUGACGAAAAUAAGGCCGAAACGACAAAAUAAUUCACGGAUUUACGCGGAGCACAGUGAGAAAACACACUCUGUCGUCAGCUGUCAACUGUCAACUUUU